rnacentral:rRNA from 1 species
GUGCCAGCAGCCGCGGUAAUACGAAGGUGGCGAGCGUUGUUCGGAUUUACUGGGCAUAAAGGGCGCGUAGGCGGUUCCGUAAGCAGCGUGUGAAAUCCCACGGCUCAACCGUGGAACAGCGCGCUGGACUGCGGUUCUUGAGGACCGGAGGGGGGUGUGGAACUCUCGGUGUAGCGGUGAAAUGCGUAGAUAUCGAGAGGAACACCGGUGGCGAAAGCGGCACCCUGGCCGGUUUCUGACGCUGAGGCGCGAAAGCGUGGGUAGCAAACAGGAUUAGAUACCCCCGUAGUCC